CGCCUGGUCGGCCUUGACCGUGGUCUUGCCGCUCUUGUCGGUCAGCAGCACGGACGCCAGCAGGGCACCGCCGGUCGCACCGGCGCUGGGCGU
rnacentral:tRNA from 1 species